GUUUCACAGCAGCUGGAGUGCCGAAGGUUGCUGAUCUCUGCGAUAGGACAUGGCCCUGCACAGUGAGCACUGUCAGCUUCGAUUGGACAUUGUCAGCGUGUACAUGGACGUGCCCCAUUGACAAGUUGAAUGCUUUGGAAUCACAUACAGAGAUAAGGAUCGUUGUAGCAACUCAGUACUGUAUUCUUCUCCACAGUAAAAGUCACGAGUACAGCGCUGACGACAAGAACUGAACCAAGGUGACGGAGCCAGGAGACAAUCAUCUGUGAUGUUCAAGAAAGCAGAGUUAAUUUUGUGAGCCUUCUCUCAGCUGUACAGCGGUUAGA